UCGGGGUACACGCAUUGCUGUUGCGACCACGCCGAACCUACUUCGAAAGUAAAAUUUCUCAGUGGGUAAUCCAUUAGAAGUAAUGACUCGCAUAGACCAUGGCACAACUAAAUGUACGCGCAGGUUCUACCCGGCUCGCCUUUGUGUGAGUGCAGUGCGUAGCUUGUUGUUUCGUACGUGCCACUCCGUAUUAAUUCGUACGUGGGGAUAGAUCAUUGUUUAAUUGUUGGUCUCGGUCUUAACUAGGAAUGCCUUGUACGGGUCUCUGGUUCAACAUACCACCCGGAAUACGUCCCUGCCCUUUGUACACACCGCCCGUCGCUCUUACCGAUGGAUUAUGCUAUGAAUCUAUAGGACUGCCAAAGCUUUUUGGAGCUUAGUGGAAAUAUAUAUGAAUAGCGGAUCUA
rnacentral:rRNA from 2 species